rnacentral:lncRNA from 1 species
UUCUACUUGGGAUCAUUAUAUGACUCAUUCUUCUGAUAACUAACAAUUCUUCCUUUACAAUUAGAUCUAGGUAUAACUUAAGUACUAGUUGGGAUUUUAAGAGAUCUAGAUCUAUAUUCUCGAUGUGCUGAGGAAGUGUUUCUGGAUCUCCUAUUGUUGCCUUUUUCUUUUUAAGUAGAGGUUCAACCAGUGUCAUGAGGGGUUCA